rnacentral:rRNA from 1 species
GAUGAACGCUGGCGGCGUGCCUAAUACAUGCGAGUCGAGCGAACGGACGAGAAGCUUGCUUCUCUGAUGUUAGCGGCGGACGGGUGAGUAACACGUGGAUAACCUACCUAGAAGACUGGGAUAAGUUCGGGAAACCGGAGCUAAUACCGGAUGAUAAUGUGAACAGCAUGGUUCAAAAGUGGAAGACGGUCUUGCUGUCACUUAUAGAUGGAUCCGCGCUGCAUUAGCUAGUUGGUAAGGUAACGGCUUACCAAGGCAACGAUGCAUAGCCGACCUGAGAGGGUGAUCGGCCACACUGGAACUGAGACACGGCCCAGACUCCUACGGGAGGCAGCAGUGGGGAAUCUUCCGCAAUGGGCGAAAGCCUGACGGAGCAACGCCGCGUGAGUGAUGAAGGUCUUCGGAUCGUAAAACUCUGUUAUUAGGGAAGAACAUAUGUGUAAGUAACUGUGCACAUCUUGACGGUACCUAAUCAGAAAGCCACGGCUAACUACGUG